AGAAAGAAAGAAAAAGGGGACACCUUAUCCAUUGGCCGCUGCUUCCUUCUCUUGCAAACCAGCAGUUCAGCAGAUUCCCCCAACCUUCAUUGCUCCUCCCAAGCGCCCCUAUCUAUUCCUUGUCGUCCUCCCUCCUGCGACUGGAUUCAAAUCCUCUAACUUUAGAGAGAAGCUACAGUGCCUCUAGCUUCAUUUACUGUAAUGUGAGAUUGUAGCAAUACUAUACCACCAUAUCUUAUCCGUUUGCCUCUGAUCCAAUGGCCAGUGUCAAUCUGAAGUCACCUGACUUUACUGGAUUGUGAAGUCAGAGGAUCUGGUUUCCCUGCGGCUGCCCCUCCCCUACGCCCUACCUCCUGUGGUCCCUGCUGCUACUGCUGUAAGGGAGGAGGUUGGAGGCCAGCAGCAUGACAAGAGAGAAGGAGAAGAAAAGGAAGAUGCAGAAGAAAGGCAGGGAAGAAAAGGAGACGAGGAAGAGGAAGAAGGAAAGGUCACUUGAUCUUUCUGUGUUGCUCUAGGUGGUGACCGGUGGAGUAGCUGAUGCUAGUGAGUUGCAAGACCGAGAGGAGGAGGUUGUGAGCAGGAAAGAGGGGGCAAAACCAUCCUGAUUCUUGCUGUAUAUAAUAGGUAAUAAUUCAGAUUCAACUGCUGCUGUCUCUAGAUUGGUUUGUGGCUGAUCUGGUCGGGCGCCCUUCUACCGGUGAGGAUUUAAGUUGCUGAAUCUGUAGUGCAGUUUCGACACUCGUUUCAGCGACCUUAGCGAUUUUUUCCCAUAGAACCUGUAAAUUAGAAAGUUGUAGAUAACGUGGAGGCCUAGCUUCUAUAAUAGUUGAAGAAUUUUUGGCCCAGUGGUUUGAGCCUAGUCGUCGUUAGUAGUUCUUUGCUGUGCAGUAAUCGAUUUUUUUGUAAGAAAUCAGUUUAGGGGCCUGUUUUGGUGAACUUAAAGGCUUUUACUUGAAUUGUGAUAAUAACAAAGGUUGUAGAUAAUGUUUCUAGCUUUCCAUAGAGUUUUUAUUCAUCAUUUUUGCCCAUGUGGUUUAGGAGAUAUCACUUACUGAAGAUGGCAUUCUGAACUUUGCCAGAUUUCAAGACAACACUUUUGUAGCUUGUUUUAGGCACUUAAUAUGGGGGAAUUAAAUUAAGUGAAGACUACCAAAAUUUGUAGAUCUUCUCCUUUAGAUGGUGAAAAUCUAUUUAUUUAUCCUCAUAGCUUCGGUAGAAAAAUAGAGAUGAAAUUCACAAGUAGCAGUGCUCCUAGUAACUGAUGUAUGUCGAGAGGGUUGUUUUUGGGUAGCAAUGCAAGUGUCCGUAGGAGCAUCUUAUGUUAUUUAUUUUUCUUAUUUUGACAGUGGUUUUAAGUAUGGCAUUACUACUGUUGAAUCAGGUGGCAGUGCUUAAGUUCUUUUUUUUUACUUAUGGGAAAAAGUCUUUUUCUAGGCGUAUUUCGUUCACCGUCUUCGGUAAUUAGACAAGUAAACAUAUCGAUGGUUGAUAUAACUAUAAAUUUUUAUUUUAAUACCUCUACCUUUAAAUUAGUACACACACAAGGAUCCUAAUAAAUGAAAGAUGAUGCGAUUCUUUCUGUUAUAGUAUGAUUACUAUGUUAAAUGAUGUUCUUUAAUGUUUUGAUUUAGCAAGUGAAUGUAGUGGAUAGCUACACUUUAACCUGCCAUUUGGUUGCCUCAUCUUUUUUAAUUUCAAUGCAUACAACUAAUCUGAUGAACAGAUUAUGAGCUUGUUACCCUAUUGUUUACUUUUCGGAAGUUUACUUGGUCUUAACUUAUGAAGUGCAAGAAGCAAGAUUUGUUGCUUUAAAUUUAUUCAUUUAUUAUAGUGUGCAAUGUUGGAAGUUAUAUUGUUACCUAUGUAUGAAGCAUGUCAUGUAUAUGAAUCUCAUGGAUUUGAAGUUUUGUCAUCGUUUUAUGGCCGCAACCAUACCGGUACAAUACAAUAUGUUACCCGAGAAGAGGUAUGGUGUACACCCUUACGUUACUCGAGAAGGAGUAAGGGUGAGAAACAGCAUAGCAUGUGUAUCUAUACGCAUUCUCAUAGAAGUAUUUUAUUUUGGAAGUUAUGCUUUUAUUUAUGUAUAUAUGUACACACACACACACACACACACACACACACACACAUAUAUAUAUAUAUAUAUAUAUAUAUAUAUAUAUAUAUUGUAUAUUGUAUAUAUAUGCAUCUCAUGCAUUAGAAGUUUCGUCGUCAUCUUAUGACCGCGGCCAUACUAGUACAACGCCUUAUGUUACCCAAGAAUGGGUAAGGGUGAGGAAGAUCAUGACAUAUGCAUUCAUUUGGUGGUACUUACUUUAAUUACAUGGAUGCUUUUCUUCAUACGUAAGAAAGUUAUUUAUUGUUGUUCAGAAGUAAACUAUAUGUUGAUGAGGGGUUGCAGGUAGUCUAUUUGAGUAAUUUUAUUUUCAUUCAAGAUAUGUGGCUAAAUGUUAUUUAACCUUGUGGAGCUGUUCUUAUGGUCUAAGGAUGACUUUAAUGUAGGUCAUGUUGUGGCUAAAUGUUAUUCAAGAUAUGCUUUAUAAUUAUGAUGGUAUUGAUACCCACAUUUUUCAUCAUAGGAGAAGUUUUAGGUAAUUGCAACAUGAAGUCUAUCAAAAUUACUCAUGCCUCUUUUUGAAUCAUGAAAUGCUUUAGCGUGAUACUUGAGUAGGUGAUGUUGUGUUUAGCUCUAGGUUAACAUGAUGAUCGUAAUGGUAAUGGAACCGAGAUAUGUUUAAGAUGUUUCUUAAUCAACUUAUAGUUUAAAUAGCUUGUUAUAGUAGUUUAUUUGCCGAGAUUUCCAUGUCACUAUUUUAUCUCUCCCCAGGUUUGCCUUGAGCAGACAAGCAAUGGGAUGGGUAGCAGCCUGUCCUUUACACGCUUACCACUGUCUUUUGUUUAGCUAUGUUAUGAGGUCGAUUUCUCAUCCUUUAGUCAAUUUUGGGGAAUAAAUGUAUCGUCGUGGUGUGUUAGUAUGUUAGAGGCAUGUCCCUCUUUGCUAGGUUGCUUGAUAUCCAGUUAGUGUGAUGUUUUUAUCUAUAUCUCUCUGAUGAUGUGUAAGUUAAACACUAAUUUACUUUAGAUGUGCUGCCAUUUUUAUGGUUCGGCGAGCUUAUAGGUCGGUUUCAGUAGCACUCCGAGCUUGUGGUGGUCCUCAAGGUGUUACACCCUUAUCUAUUCACUAAAGUUGGAAAAUGAUCCCCACUUCCCUCUCUAUCUGUCUCGUCUUCUUGUGCAAGCUCAGCUCCCUCCUCACCUUGGCAACCAUGGGCGCCAGAACCUUGAGCCCAGUAGCCGCCCCAAGUUCUGCAUGUUACACCAUUGCAAUCCCAAGCUUCCAAGCGUUCCAACCAUCCAAUCAGUUUCUGCAUGCACCGAGGAUUGAGCGAGAUCGAGGCAAGAUAUGAUGCCUCCCAUGACCUCUCACCCUCUACUCUGUCUCCCGUUCACUCAGCUGAGCACCCACCGAGCAUGCAGAUAGCAGCAGCAGCUCCUUAUCUCUCUCGUGCUCACUCUCUCUCUCAACCAGACAAAACACAAGUAGCGCACAUCUCUCUAUGGCCCAGGUGAACAUGCAUAUGCUGUCCCAGGAGCCGUCAACACCAUUCAAGCGCCGUCGUGAGGAGCCCCAUCGCCAACUGUGACCCCGACCAUCUCCAGCCAUGCUCUGACCGCAGCGAGCUCUGCCACGAUCUCCUGAAGCCAACAUGCGCGCCACUUUGGCGUUGACCCAAGUCCGGCGCAGCUCACUGCGGGACUCCAAGUGCCGCCGCACCAAGUACACGCUGCCGGCCAGGCUCCGGAGAGUGCCGCUGGACAAGGAGCCCUCGAAGGGGUUCCUCAUGGAGCGGCCAACCUAUUGCUACCGAAACCAAGACCGCUCAUGGCCGGAAUUGCUGGGAGCACACCAUGGCUGGCCACCAUGACUCCUCUGUGCAGUGGAGCUCGGAUCAUUUGUGACCUGGUCAAGCAGCCGGCCUCACAUUUCAGUCGCUGCGGCUAGGUAUAUCUUGGUGAAAAAGUCCUGAGUAUUUGUUUAUUCGGUUAAGAGAGAAAAUCCGAAAAUGAGUUAUUGUUGUAUUGUUAAUUCAGCAGAAACUUGUAAAAUGCAUAGUAAAUUGAAUGUUGCUCUAACAAAUAUUAAACCACUUAUUCUUUUAUGAUCA